AGAAAGGUAAGUUAAGUAGAAACUGUCUGGUUCAUGCUCAGGUAAUAUAAUUUUAUUCUUUCUU
rnacentral:tRNA from 1 species